rnacentral:RNase_P_RNA from 2 species
GGGGCAGGCUCGAUGGUCGCGGGUGCUUCGGCAUCCGAGGAAAGUCCGAGCUCCACAGGGCAGACUGCCAGGUAACGCCUGGGCGCCGCAAGGCGACGGACAGGGCAACAGAAAGCAAACCGCCCGAAGGUGCGCAAGCGCCGGAGGGUAAGGGUGAAAGGGUGGGGUAAGAGCCCACCGCGUCGCUGGUAACAGCGAUGGCACGGCAACCCCCAGUCGGAGCAAGGCCAAAUAAGCGGCGAGGUGCGGCCCGCACCGACCCCACCGGCAACGGUGAGCCGCGGGUAGGCUGCUCGAGGCGGUCGGCGACGAUCGUCCCAGACAGAUGACCAUCCCCUGGCAACAGGGUACAGAACUCGGCUUAUGGCCUGCCCCACGC